AGGAGGUAGCCAACACUGUUUAUAUAUAUAUAUAUAUAUAUAUAUAUAUAUAUAUAUAUAUAUAUAAAUAUAUUAUUUUAAUUGGGGUAGCCCCCAAAAUAUUGGGACAAUGUGCUCCCCAACGAGAAGACGAUGACGCAUUCGUAUGUCAAUCCAUAUCAACUUUCGAUGCCAUUGACUGCGCCUACCAUGGUGACCACGGGUAACGGAGAAUCAGGGUUCGAUUCUGUACAGAGACACGGACAAACGGCUACCACAUGCAAGGAAGGCAGCAGGCGCACAAAUGACCCACUCCCGACGCGGGAAGGUAGUGA